AGUGAACGCUGGCGGUAGGCCUAACACAUGCAAGUCGAACGGCAGCACAGUAAGAGCUUGCUCUUACGGGUGGCGAGUGGCGGACGGGUGAGGAAUACAUCGGAAUCUACUUUUUCGUGGGGGAUAACGUAGGGAAACUUACGCUAAUACCGCAUACGACCUACGGGUGAAAGCAGGGGAUCUUCGGACCUUGCGCGAUUGAAUGAGCCGAUGUCGGAUUAGCUAGUUGGCGGGGUAAAGGCCCACCAAGGCGACGAUCCGUAGCUGGUCUGAGAGGAUGAUCAGCCACACUGGAACUGAGACACGGUCCAGACUCCUACGGGAGGCAGCAGUGGGGAAUAUUGGACAAUGGGCGCAAGCCUGAUCCAGCCAUACCGCGUGGGUUAAGAAGGCCUUCGGGUUGUAAAGCCCUUUUGUUGGGAAAGAAAAGCAGCAGGUUAAUACCCCGCUGUUCUGACGGUACCCAAAGAAUAAGCACCGGCUAACUUCGUG
rnacentral:rRNA from 1 species